rnacentral:lncRNA from 1 species
AUGCAGAGUACAGAAGAUGGGGGAGCAUUUAUGAAAAUAAUAAAAAAAAAAAAAAAAAAAAAAAAAAAAAAAAAAAAAAAAAAAAAAAAAAAAAAAAAAAAAAAAAAAAAAAAAAAAAAAAAAAAAAAAAAAAAAGAAAUAUUACAUAAAAUGGUAACAAAUGCAAAUAAAAAUAAUAACGAUGACUGGGAACUACAUCCUUUGUUUUUGUCAAAAAUACCUAAAAAACAGGAUAUAGAUAAGAAUUCAGCUCUUGCUGCAUUAAUAACUUUAAUUAAUGAAGAAGAAAAUGAAGUUUCUAAUUAUCAACCCAAAAGAAAAAACUUAAAAAAAAAGUAACAGAUAAUGAAGGAAUUAUUUAUAGAAGAGAUAGAAGAGAUGUGUUUGCACCUUAUCAAAGCAAAACGCAAGUUCAUGAUUUACAAAACCAUAUUCUUAAAAAUGUAAACAAUAACAAUAAGAUUACUGCUAAUACUAGUAGUAAUGAAACAUCGAAUCAUUUUCAAAACGAGAAACAAGAACAAGAAAUACAAGAACAAAAUGGUGAAUAUCAAAGUAAUGUAUCAGAUGAAAACGACAUGACAGAAAAAACGUCGAUCGGUGAAGUUUUAGUUUGUUUAUCAAUGAUGAAUUUAAAACAAUAGUAUAAUAAAAUAUUUUCUUUCCAUCUCUAUCUUUCUUCC